rnacentral:rRNA from 1 species
UACGAAGGGUGCAAGCGUUACUCGGAAUUACUGGGCGUAAAGCGUGCGUAGGCGGUUUGUUAAGUCCGUUGUGAAAGCCCCGGGCUCAACCUGGGAAUGGCAUUUGAUACUCUGAGGCUGGAGUACGGGAGAGGAGAGUGGAAUUCCCAGUGUAGAGGUGAAAUUCGUAGAUAUUGGGAAGGACACCGGUGGCGAAGGCGGCUCUCUGGACCGUAACUGACGCUGAGGCGCGAAAGCGUGGGGAGCAAACAGG